rnacentral:rRNA from 1 species
CCUACGGGUGGCAGCAGUGGGGAAUAUUGCACAAUGGGGGAAACCCUGAUGCAGCGACGCCGCGUGAGUGAAGAAGGAUUUCGGUAUGUAAAGCUCUAUCAGCAGGGAAGAAAAGGACGGUAACUGAUGAAGAAGCCCCGGCGAACUACGUGCCAGCAGCCGCGGUAAUACGGAGGGGGCAAGCGUUAUCCGGAUUUACUGGGUGGAAAGGGAGGGUAGACGGGGAGGCAAGUCAGAAGUGAAAGCCCGGGGCUCAACUCCGGGACUGCUUUUGAAACUGUGUGACUGGAGUGCAGGAGAGGUAAGCGGCUUUCCUGGUGUAGCGGUGAAAUGCGUAGAUAUCAGGAGGAACACCAGUGGCGAAGGCGGCUUACUGGACUGUACCUGACGUUGAGGCUCGAAAGCGUGGGGAGCAAACAGGAUUAGAUACCCCUGUAGUC